GGAAAUAUGUCAGACAAAAGAAUUACUUUGAUAGAGUAAACAAUAGAGGUUAAAAUCCUCUAAUUUCUA
rfam:Pan troglodytes isolate Yerkes chimp pedigree #C0471 (Clint) chromosome 4, whole genome shotgun sequence.